rnacentral:rRNA from 1 species
ACUUAGUGGCGGACGGGUGAGUAACGCGUGGAUAACCUGCCUUACACUGGGGGAUAACACUUAGAAAUAGGUGCUAAUACCGCAUAAGCGCACAGAGCCGCAUGGCUCAGUGUGAAAAACUCCGGUGGUGUAAGAUGGAUCCGCGUCUGAUUAGCUAGUUGGCGGGGUAGAAGCCCACCAAGGCGACGAUCAGUAGCCGGCCUGAGAGGGUGAACGGCCACAUUGGGACUGAGACACGGCCCAAACUCCUACGGGAGGCAGCAGUGGGGAAUAUUGCACAAUGGGGGAAACCCUGAUGCAGCAACGCCGCGUGAGUGAAGAAGUCAUUCGUGAUGUAAAGCUCUAUCAGCAGGGAAGAAAAUGACGGUACCUGAGUAAGAAGCCCCGGCUAACUACGUGCCAGCAGCCGCGGUAAUACGUAGGGGGCAAGCGUUAUCCGGAUUUACUGGGUGUAAAGGGAGCGUAGACGGCCAGACAAGUCUGAAGUGAAAAUCCAGCGCUUAACGUUGGAAGUGCUUUGGAAACUGCCGGGCUAGAGUGCAGGAGGGGCAGGCGGAAUUCCUAGUGUAGCGGUGAAAUGCGUAGAUAUUAGGAGGAACACCAGUGGCGAAGGCGGCCUGCUGGACUGCAACUGACGUUGAGGCUCGAAGGCGUGGGGAGCAAACAGGAUUAGAUACCCCGGUAGUCCACGCGGUAAACGAUGAUUACUAG